rnacentral:rRNA from 1 species
GACAGAGGGGGCAAGCGUUGCUCGGAAUCACUGGGCGUAAAGGGCGCGUAGGCGGGAUGGCAAGUCGGUCGUGAAAUCUCUCGGCUCAACCGAGAAACGUCGGCCGAUACUGCCGUUCUUGAGGGAUGCAGAGGAGACUGGAAUUCCAGGUGUAGCGGUGAAAUGUGUAGAGAUCGGGAGGAACACCGGUGGCGAAGGCGGGCCUCUGGGCAUCUCCUGACGCUGAGGCGAGAAAGCGUGGGGAGCAAACGGG